AGCCCUUCACUGUCAGGCACGUUUGCACUGGUGUCUGCAACACGUGCACUGGAACCUGAACAUGUGGAGGAAUGUUAUGUUCAGCGAUGAGUCCAGAUUCUGCCUAGGGCACUUGGAUCACUCGGUGUGGAGAAGAUGCGGAGAGGGCUUUGCUGAUUGCGGCAUCUUUUGGUGGAGGCAGUGUGAUGGUGUGGUGUUGCAUCUCCCUCACUGAAAAAACAAGGCUUGUCAUCAUUGGAGGCAGUCUCAAUGCAGACAGAUAUUGAGAUGAAAUUCUGCAACCAGUGGCAAUCCCAUAUCUCCACAGUGAGGGACCAAACUCUAUACUCCGAGAUGACAACGCUUGCCCCCACUGAGCGAGGCUUAUCAGAGAGUACCUCCAGAACUUUGGAGUGGAGAGGAUGAAAUGGCCUGCCAGCAGUUGUGACCUCAACCCCAUUGAACACUUGUGGGAUCAGCUUGGGCGUGCUGUUCGUGCCAGAGUGACCAACGCAAACAUGUUGGCUGACUUGCGACAAAUGCUGGUUCAAGAAUGGGAUGCUGUUUGGCAUUAUCAGAGAAGAUUAGGCAAAUUUUUCAUUUAAAGGGCGCGACCCACAUACUCAGCUCUGCUGCUCAUCCCACAAAUGCAGGUUCCUUACCAAUGUGCCGCUAUUUAAAAUGGAAAUAAACAGACUUUCCAAUAGCAAGAUUUAUUGCCAAGAAGCAUUGUUACAACAAAGAAAUAAUCUACCCAACACAAAUUUACUUAUUGUCGUAGUUUAUUUGGUUUUCUCCCUUUUAAGCAAGUUUAUAAUCUCUGCUUAAUCUGUGCAUAUUAUUCCAACACCAGCUCCAAACAUCUGGUGCAAACACCUGGUAUCAAACCAAGCUCAAACUCGGGGGUCCGCUCUGCACUUUCACUUCACUUUCAGCAUCAGUCUGCAGCACUUCAUCCCCCAGUGCACGUCACAUUAUAGUUGAUUCUAAACUCACCAACAUGGUCCAUGUUGGAAGGAGGACCGUGUAUAUUCAACAUCAUGUGACCACGGGGGGGAGAGAGAGAGAGGGAGAGAGAGAGAGAGAGAGAGAUCCAUCCAUCCAUCCAUCCAUCCAUCCAUCUCCACUUGUGUGUAAUGGCUGUUUGCUGAAUGCUGUUUGUUGUUGUGCUGAAUAUUUACAUUCGCCCACACACCUUCAUUGGAUUACCAAAAACCUCUGCCUUCCAACUGAGACAACACUGCCGGCCAAAGGCCCAAGAGGGACCAGCCGAUCUUUAGGAGGCGGGGGGAAAACCCUAAUGCAAUUUGUAUGGCACGGAGCACUCGGCAACCAGAUGGGAGCCAGGCUGACUUACCUGAAGCAGUUUUCCUUAUUUACUUCAGCGCCCAAGGCCAUGUCAGACAAGGGGGAGAGAAACAUGUUAGCCCGAGCAAAUUAUCAGGGCUUUCAUGUGGGUUACGUUCUAUCAGAUCCUCCUACUCUGCAGAAUGUAAUGGAAGCAGAAGCAAAGUGCUCAGGGCCUUCACCUCCGACGUGUUCUCAUUCGAGGUAGGACAAGGUGUGUGUGGGAGAUAAAGGAGCAGGUCCCAGUCACUCCCAGCGUGAAGACUGUGGCAUAUAGAACAUUCUGCUCUUGCCAGUCAUCAGGGUCAGGAUAUUGGAUGGAGAGUAAUUACAACAAGGGUACUUUAGUAAGGGCACUGUGGUAAAUCACAGCCCUGCCUCUUUGUGUGUGUGCUAUUAAAGAAAGGUUAGACAAACUAAUUAUGGAAGGACAUUGUAAAUAGAAAAAUCCAUUGCUUUGAAUUAAUGUCCAUUUGAUGUAAUCAGUUGUGGCUUUUCUA